AAUACGAAAACGUGAAAAUCCUCUGUUAAUCCUGAACGCGUAAUUUUAGCUGCAUUUCGAUUUUGUUUAGAAUGUAGCUAGUUUGUUCGACAGUUUUGUAACAACACUUUAUAUCUUGGUAGGAUUCAGUAUUUGCCUUGGCCCAUCCGCAUAUUAUGUUUUUUUGCACAAUAAUCAAAAAUUGUUUAUAAACUUUGUGCUAUAACAUUGCGUCCCGCACGCCUCUAUCAACCAACAAGUAAAUAUGGCAAUGCUAUGUCGUGGGCUUCACAUAUUUCCCCCAAUUCAGCAAGUUCACCAGAGCACGGAUUCCACAAGAAGUAGGGUGGACGGUGCUGUGGACUUUCAUCAAGGGCAGGCCCUACAUCUAAAUGCAAUGAAUGCCAUCAACUCAAAGCUGUUUAUUACCUAAUGUUACUUACACUUUGAUCAUAGGCUAAAAUAAAUAAACCCCUGGGACUAAACCCCCUGAAUCCUGAAUAAACCCCCUGAAUCCUGAAUAAACCCCCUGAAUCUAUGGUCUUUCAGUUGCUGGAUGAGCGGACGCAAGAGCAUGAGAAGUAUGGUGGUAAUCCGGAGCAGCCCAGUAAAAAGCACCAUGUGAUGACCUUACUGGGAGAAGAAGCUAGUGGAGGGACGCUACCUGCAGAAGAUGGGGCUCCUAUCCGUUUAGAUGACCUUACUGGGAGAAGAAGCUAGUGGAGGGACGCUACCUGCAGAAGAUGGGGCUCCUAUCCGUUUAGAUGACCUUAAUGGGAGAAGAAGCUAGUGGAGGGACGCUACCUGCAGAAGAUGGGGCUCCUAUCCGUUUAGAUGAAUAAUAAUCAUCUGGGGGCUUGCCUAGUGGUUGGAAAUCCUAACCUGUCAGAUGUGGGUGCAGCCCACCUCUAGACUAAGUGUGUGUUUUGCAUAGUGUUAGCAUUUUCUCCUCCAAGACGUGUAUUUAAUUAAUUUAUCUGUGCUUGAGGUCAUGCAGUAAAGUUGUAAUGAUGAGUAUGAUUGCUAACUUGAUUUUUACUGUGGUGAAGUAUUGAAGUAAAACUAUUUUAAAGUA